GAACACUUGGACACGGAGAGUCGGGGCUGGCGGACCCUACGGUUCUCCACAGGGCAGAUUAGAAAACAUUUCCUGAAGAUGAGGCUACACUUGCGCCUUCAGAUUUGCUGUGAUAAUCUACGCGCUCCAUUAGCAGUUUGCUCUCAAGGCCAUUGCGCGAAGAAGAAUGCUGUCACUGAUGGGAAGAUGUGUGCCAGAGGCUUGGCAGCUGGCCAGGACGUGCCUGAGUGCACCUGAGAUGGCAGCAGGAUCCGGUUGCAUAAGAAUCCAGGUCUGUAUUGUUAACUUGUGUUGAGUUUUUUUAUUCAGACGCAGGGUAAAAAGAAUGGAGAUACAGAAUUGCUCCUCCUUGCCCCCCGGCCCCUCACCACUUCCCCAAACACAAUUUCAUCUCAGUCACUACACUUGCGCUAUGGUUUUUAUGCAGCAGGUGUUACUGAUAGCUUCAUUUUGUUGUACCCAGCAGAGCUCAUGGUCAAGGGGAGUUGUUUAAGUUGAGGGGAUGCCCCUUAUCAUUUCCUUCACUUCAGUCACAAGCAAACAGCUUCCAAACAUGCUGCAGGCCUCCAUAUUGGUAUUUUUGUAUCGUACCUGGAAAAAGCCAAAGUCACUUGACAUUUGAAAGUCUGAGGUAGAAAUACAAAAUUAUUGGUUAAUCAGUGAAGUACUGAUGCAAAUAAGUGAUAGUAAUAACAAAACUAUAUUUUUUUCUUAAAAAACCUCUUAGUGAGGUUCCUCUAUACUCCAGUCUUGCAAGAUGUUGAACGGGGACGUUCUGUGGACAGUAGUAUACAGUACACACAGUAACAAUCUAUAGCCACAUCACAGAAUUUCCUGACUGUCACUUUGAUGCAGAAGAUAGACAUAAGAAUUUCCCAUCAAAGGUUUCCAUAGGAGAGGGAGAAAUUCUGCUCCUUCAGCUCUGAAACAGAGAUUUGUCAGUAAUAUUUUGAUGGAUGUUAUUGUAAUGGAUAUCAGAUAGAUGGAUAGACUGAAUGAUGCAUUUUGUCACAAAAUUGUUUCUGCAUUGCCACUAGCGGCUAUGUUAACUUGAUGUAUGGAAUUUAUUUUAUUGAGCAGGGUGUAAAACUGUCUGUAAAAAUACAGCAUUGAACUACUAUAUACAUAUAUGGCUUAAAUUUGAAGCUUCAGCUGACUGUAAUGUAGAGGGUCCCUAUGGAUGUGAACUUGGGUUUAUGAAGCAAAAAUGUACUGUAUCUUUAUGUCUUGUUACUAUCUCACAUUACAGUAAAAUUUCUUUUAUAUAUGAUGCAGUGUUAUUACUGCUUUAUUUUUACAUAAUAAAGCUAUUGAUUUACUGCAUUAACUGUAAUAACUGAGUAUUAAUUUGACACAUGCUUCUCCAGUAUUCCACUUUUAUUAGUGCUUUUGAUACUGUUUUGAAGAUUUUUUUCUAUGCCGUGAACAUAGAGGAGGACAUUAGAAGAUCAAUACAAUGACAACUUGCAGAAUCUUGUCAGAGACAAGAGUGAGAUCCAUGGUACAUGAAAUCUCAAGACUAACCCUAACUUUUGUGUGGAGGAACACUAAGUGGUUCCAUACACAUCACUGUCGCUGCAUAACUAAAAGCAAGUGCCAUGUCUUCAGCUCAACAGCAUUAAUUUUGUUUUAAUUGCUUAGGCUAUUAGGUGCACUUUUGUAAGACUUUAAAUGCUACUGUGAUGAGCAUGAGAAAACCUGUGGAAUAAUAAAUAUAUAGAGAGACAUUUGUGGAAGAAUAUCAAAAUGGAAUUUCAGAAGAUAGAUGUGUCAUGUUUAAUUGAAUCUCCAGCAGCAGGACGCUGCGGGAGCAGCAGCAUGACUCACAUGCAGUUGUGGUAGACGACUAGGCCCAUGUAGCCGCUCUGAAAAGAAUAAUUGAAACAUCCUCCAUCUUCUUUAAAUAUUACUUUCUUCAGUAAAAAGAUUACCGCACAAUAAGUAGAUCACUUCUUUGAAUAAGUCACAAUAUUGCAAUUUACUUAUUACUGUAACAAAAGGAAAUUCCAUUGAGUAUACAUUGCUCUCUGCUGUAUUUCAUCCUGUGAUGGAAUUUAUGCAGAAAGGUUCUUAAACAACUGUACCUUCCUCUGGAGGAAAAUGAUAGUUCAGAAAAAACUCCCUCCUCAUUCCUGUUUUCAAUCUAACAAUCCAAAAGUGAAUUUUCUAUGGAUAAGCAAACACAAAAUCAAACAAGAUCUCACCAGAGCAACUGCAAAACCAUCAUCAAUGUCUCCAACAUCUGUCAAUCGUUCCAAAAGGUCAUAUAUUUCAUCAAGCCCAAUGCAUGCUGCCAUAGGAAGUAUGUGUGUGAAACUAAACAAACUUGCUUCCCAUGUUGCUUUGGCACAAUUGUGCGUGACAGUGUUCUGUUAACAAAAUCAGGGCACUGAUCUGUUGGAGAAAAGUAACUACUUUUUUGGGGUGGGGAAGAGGGAGAGGUUUGAUGGUUUUUCAUCUGGGUCACUUCUGGAAUCCAUUUGAAAGAGACACCCCAAAGCAUUGUGGCUUUCUAAUUGUGGACAUAGGGUGCUGUGAGACAACGGCAGGAAGGAAUGCCAGGAGACCUUGAGGGAAGCGAAAGUAGCUUAAACUGCUGUACUCAUCCAGUGUAGAACCUGAGCCUGACACAAGGCUCGCCGAGGCUGUGUCAGAGGUUCCACUAUCCAAGGAGGCAGAAGGUAUCAUUCUGCUUAAAUCAUCUGUUAGAGUUGGGGGUUAAAACCAUACAUGUAUGAAUGUGCUGUCCAUAUAACAUCUGGUUUUACAGUCUGCAGUACUAAUUUAAAAUAUCUCCUUUUGUUCUCCAGGUCAUGUACUGCUGCAUGUUUAUGUUAUUCCUUAUUGCUCAUACCGACUCUUUGAAUCAGGUGUAGUAAACUAUUGUUUAGUUGUUUUUUCUCUUCCUUGUAAUGAUCUAUCUAAGUCUAUCUUUCCUCCAACUAAUGCUCUUGUACACAUUGCCAAGUUUUACCUGGCUGCCUCCAUAUUCUGUAUUGUUCAGGCAGAAAAAAACUGUGAUUCUGUCACAAGUUUUCUUGUCAUUAUCUGUUUAAAACACUUUUUAUCAACAAUAAAGUGCUAAAGUACCACAUCAGUCUUGCAACUAUUGCAUUGUCGUCUUUGUUUCUGCACGUUUAAUCAUUAACACCAACAUCGUUGUGUCUUCCCUACGCCCUACCUUUAAAUUGCAAUAGAGUCAUGUUUAUUUGCUCUCUGGUUGCUGACUGUCACUUUGUCUUCACUUUCAGCUAGGCCAGCCCAACUACCUUAUUUAGGCUGCAAUUAAUAGCCCAUCAGGCAGAACAGUUCUUUCACAUUCAUUUUGCAAGAACUCUCUCCCACUCACAACACCUGUUUCCCAAACAAGCCCAGUGAACUGCGGCCAAGCGAUGAACCUCCCUUGGUUCCAAGCAACCCCCUGAGCCACAGCAGAAAAUACAAGUUCAGCUUUCUCCUCACCACAGGGAAUUCCAUGAAAUCUUCAGUGUGGCUUGGCUUCUUAAAGCUUUUGCCAUCACUGCCCUAGUUUUCUUCCUCGCCUUUUCUCUUUUCCUAUAUGGUAGCAAUAACAGUUGGUCAAUGAGCGUAAGGUGGUUUUGUUAUUAAUCCUACAUUGUGGCAGUUACUUUGUUGGUAUUGUUCAUAAGUACCUUUGGUCUUUCAUUUACUUGGCUUUAGCAGCUUGAUUUUUAUUAACACUUUGUUAUAUAGAGCAGCAGCAUUUUGCGAUUCAGUACUAUAAUUGCUAUGUAAUCCUUGCAAGGUCAACAAGGAGUUAAAAUGCUUUGAGUUAAAAAGCUCAGGGUAAGAAGCAUGAGAACAGGCCUGACAAUUCCAAGAAAAUGUAGAGUCUGUGUAAGAUUUUUGAAGACUGAGAUAAAGAUUAAUUAUGAUUAAAGAUUAAAUCAAGUCAUGUUAGGGUGAUCUACACUGUAAUUUAGGAAGGAAAGUUAGUGUCCUUCAGUGUGGCACACAAACACAUGAAACACCAAUAAAUACUGAGAAUUAGAGUAACGUACUUAAGUUUUGGGUCAUGUGACCUAACCUCAUUACAUCAGUUAUAAUCCCAUUAUUAAAUCAAAUGUGAAAAUGGAAGUAUUUUGAGAAUGUUUUGGAUUUUUCUGGUAGUACAACUUUGGACCUGAAACUUAUUUUUAAUAAUUGCAGUCUCUUGAGUUCUACGUUCAAAAAUAAGUUUGUAAGUGUGUUGUAGUUGUGUCCUGG